rnacentral:tRNA from 1 species
AGCCUUGAAGUGUUAUUUAGAUUGCAAAUCUAUAAAAGCAGGUUAAUUACCGGCCGGGGCUU